rnacentral:rRNA from 1 species
UACGUAGGGUGCAAGCGUUGUCCGGAAUUAUUGGGCGUAAAGAGCUCGUAGGCGGUCUGUCGCGUCGGCUGUGAAAUCCCGAGGCUCAACCUCGGGUCUGCAGUCGAUACGGGCAAACUGGAGUGUUGCAGGGGAGACUGGAAUUCCUGGUGUAGCGGUGAAAUGCGCAGAUAUCAGGAGGAACACCGGUGGUGUAAACGGCUUUCUGGGCCAUUACUGACGCUGAGGAGCGAAAGCGUGGGGAGCGAACAGG